GACGAACGCUGGCGGCGUGCUUAACACAUGCAAGUCGAACGGUAAGGCCCUUCGGGGUACACGAGUGGCGAACGGAUGAGUAACACGGGGGUGAUCUGCCCUGCACUUCGGGAUAAGCCUGGGAAACUGGGUCUAAUACCGGAUAGGACCCUGGGAUGCAUGUCCUGGGGUGGAAAGCUUUUGCGGUGUGGGAUGGGCCCGCGGCCUAUCAGCUUGUUGGUGGGGUGAUGGACUACCAAGGCGACGACGGGUAGCCGGCCUGAGAGGGUGACCGGCCACACUGGGACUGAGAUACGGCCCAGACUCCUACGGGAGGCAGCAGUGGGGAAUAUUGCACAAUGGGCGCAAGCCUGAUGCAGCGACGCCGCGUGAGGGAUGACGGCCUUCGGGUUGUAAACCUCUUUCAGCACCGACGAAGCGCAAGUGACGGUAGGUGCAGAAGAAGGACCGGCCAACUACGUGCCAGCAGCCGCCGUAA
rnacentral:rRNA from 1 species